CCUGCCCAGUGAAUUUUUAACGGCCGCGGUAUCCUAACCGCGCGAAGGUAGCAUAAUCACUUGUUCUUUAAAUGGGGACUCGUAUCAACGGCAUCACGAGGGUUUUACUGUCUCCUCUUUUUGAUCAGUGAAAUUGAUCUUCCCGUGAAGAAGCGGGAAUAAUCCUAUAAGACGAGAAGACCCCAUGGAGCUUUAAACCAAAUAACAACUUAACCACUUACCCCAUUAGAGAUUUAAGCCCUGUUAUAAGGUUUUUGGUUGGGGUGACCGCGGAGUAAAGAACAUCCUCCACGACGGAAAGAACACACUCUUUAUUUAAGAACCACAAUUCUAGAAAUUAGUAUACUAACGUUUACUGACCCGAUAAUCGAUCAACGGACCAAGUUACCCUGGGGAUAACAGCGCAAUCUACUUCAAGAGCUCAUAUCGACAAGUAGGCUUACGACCUCGAUGUUGGAUCAGGGUAUCCCGGUGGUGCAGCCGCUACCGAAGGUUCGUUUGUUCAACGAUUAAAACC
rnacentral:rRNA from 1 species